rnacentral:rRNA from 1 species
AGAGUUUGAUCAUGGCUCAGAUUGAACGCUGGCGGCAGGCCUAAGACAUGCAAGUCGAACGGUAACGACACUAGCUUGCUAGUGGUCGACGAGUGGCGGACGGGUGAGUAACGCGUAGGAAUCUACCUAGUAGUGGGGGAUAGCCAAGGGAAACUUUGGGUAAUACCGCAUACGAUCUAAGGAUGAAAGGGGGCCUCUCUUUGAAGCUCUCGCUAUUAGAUGAGCCUGCGUAAGAUUAGCUUGUUGGUGGGGUAAUGGCCCACCAAGGCGACGAUCUUUAGCUGGUCUGAGAGGAUGAUCAGUCACACUGGAACUGAGACACGGUCCAGACUCCUACGGGAGGCAGCAGUCGGGAAUAUUGGACAAUGGGGGAAACCCUGAUCCAGCCAUGCCGCGUGUGUGAAGAAGGCCCUAGGGUUGUAAAGCACUUUUAGUAGUGAGGAAGGCUCAGUAGUUAAUACCUACUGGGAUUGACGUUAGCUACAGAAAAAGCACCGGCUAAUUUCGUGCCAGCAGCCGCGGUAAUACGAAAGGUGCAAGCGUUAAUCGGAAUUACUGGGCGUAAAGCGCGCGUAGCGGCUUGGUAAGUUGGAUGUGAAAGCCCCGGGCUCAACCUGGGAACUGCAUCCAAAACUGCCUAGCUAGAGUAUGGUACAGGAUGGCGGAAUUUCCUGUGUAGCGGUGAAAUGCG